rnacentral:rRNA from 1 species
GAGACUCUGUGCGCGUGCAUAUCAAUAAGCGGAGGAAAAGAAACUAACAAGGAUUCCCCUAGUAACGGCGAGUGAAGCGGGAAGAGCUCAAAUUUGAAAUCUUAAAGGGUUCUCCCUUUACGAAUUGUAGUUUAAAGAAGUGUUUUCUGUUGGAGUUUCGGUAAAAGUUCUUUGGAAUAGGACAUCAUAGAGGGUGAGAAUCCCGUAUUUGACCGUUACUUUCCUAGCUGUGUGAUACACUUUCAACGAGUCGGAUUGUUUGGGAAUGCAGUCCAAAAUGGGUGGUAAAUUUCAUCUAAAGCUAAAUAUUGGCGAGAGACCGAUAGCGAACAAGUACCGUGAGGGAAAGAUGAAAAGAACUUUGAAAAGAGAGUUAAACAGUACGUGAAAUUGUCAAAAGGGAAGCGUUUGACACCAGUGUUGUUUAGUUGAAAAUCAAUUCAAUAGUUUUGAUUCUAAGUAGUAUUGACUUCAUCAGCUUGCUGCUUUCUUCUCAGGAAUUAUUGAAUGCACUUUUCAGUUAACAAGUCAACAUCAAUUUCUUUUGUUGUAAAAGGGUAAGAGGAAGGUGGCUUACGCUUCGGCGUCAAGUGUUUAUAGCCUUUUAUCCUCUGCAAUCGGAGAGAUUGAGGUACAUGCAGCGUAGACUCCUUCGGGGUUAGAUACACUUGGUGCUAAGCUAUAGCCUUGUAUAGACAACUUGUUGACUAUGCUCAGUCAUGUAGCUUACUCGCUUGAUGCUAUUUUACCUACGCUUAGGAUGUUGAAGUCAUCGUAUCGCGC